GGGUGUUUGAAUGGGCACCCAACCAUGUCCUUGAAUCCUUUCCUUAGGAUGUGUUAAGUUUGUUUGUGACCGAAGAACCAUCCUUUCCAUUCUGUCUAUCCUGUUAUUCAUCAUGUUCAUCGUGGUAGUCCUACACUAUGUGACUCUGUUGACUGCAUCGUAUGCUGAUUGCUAAAGAUUUGAUUCUUCUCAUCAAUGGAAUAAAAGAAAGCAAAGGACUGGCGCUGCUUAGUGUUUUAAUCAGACACGCCACCAAGUUUCUACAAUUUUUAACGAACCUUGAAUAUUUAACAUCUAAUAUUCAACAUUUCCUGUGUUUGUACUGUAGAACAGGUCUGAAAACGUCUUAUUUGUAACUAACCAUGAAGCUAAUUGGUCAUGAUAUUGAAAAUGACAUUGAAAACUUAUAUUGAGUUUUCCCAAAGUAUAAAAGAGUAAGCCAUUUUUCACUCUCAAAAAGAAAGGCACAAAAGGGUCACAUGGGCACUUCCUUUUCAAAAGGUACACUUUUGUAUCUAUUAGGUCCAAAUAUGUACACUUUAAGUACUGACAUGUAACUUUAAGGUACCAAAAUGAAUGCUUUGGGUACAAACAUGUAUCUUUUGAAAAGGUACCGUCCCAGUGACACAUUUUGUACCUUUAUUUUUAAGAGAUACUGUUUAGAGAAAUACUUUUUUGAGAGAUACUUUGUUCAGAUACUGGCUGCAUUAAGUGUGAAGGACACCUGAUACCCUAUCAAGGGGCGCUUAACUGUAUCUCCAAUAUUGCUGUUAAGAGUUUUAUUUUUAUUUUAUUUAAUUUUUCUUUGGUUUUAUAAGAUUUAUUGUUACAAUUGCCUUCCGUGAGGCUUUAUUUGAAAUGUUAUGCAAAGCCUGUGGAAAACAUGAUUUAUAUCAACCUUUCUUUUAUGCGGCGUUGGCAUGUUCUCCCUAAUUCUUGUGCUUUAAAAACGAAUGUUCAUGGACAGUAAACAGCAAGCAAGGAUCUA